UAGGUCUACAAGAGCCCUGCCUUUCAA
rnacentral:piRNA from 1 species